rnacentral:rRNA from 1 species
GAUAAACGCUAGCGGCAGGCUUAACACAUGCAAGUCGAGGGGCAGCAUAGAUUGUAGCAAUACAAUUGGUGGCGACCGGCGCACGGGUGCGUAACGCGUAUGCAACCUACCCGUCACAGGGGGAUAAUCCGGAGAAAUCUGGUCUAAUACCCCAUAACAUAUGGAUCGGCAUCGGUUCAUGUUGAAAUUUUCGGAGGUGACGGAUGGGCAUGCGUAGCAUUAGCUUGUUGGUGAGGUAACGGCCCACCAAGGCGACGAUGCUUAGGGGGACUGAGAGGUUUUCCCCCCACACUGGUACUGAGACACGGACCAGACUCCUACGGGAGGCAGCAGUGAGGAAUAUUGGUCAAUGGGCGCAAGCCUGAACCAGCCAUGCCGCGUGCAGGAUGACGGCUCUAUGAGUUGUAAACUGCUUUUGUACGAGGGUAAAGUGGGUUACGUGUAACCUUUUGAAAGUAUCGUACGAAUAAGGAUCGGCUAACUCCGUGCCAGCCGCCGCUUAA